rnacentral:tRNA from 6 species
CGGGAUGUAGCGCAGUGGUAGCGCAUCUGUUUUGGGAACAGAGGGUCGCUGGUUCAAAUCCAGUCAUCCCGA